CCAAUAGCGUAUAUUAAAGUUGUUGCAGUUAAAAAGCUCGUAGUUGAAUUUCGGAAUCAGUACGCUGGUCGUGCCUUCGGUAUGUACUGGUGUCACUGAUUUCUCCCUUCUGAAGAACCAUCAUGCCAUUAAGUUGGUGUGGCGGGAAAUCAGGACUGUUACUUUGAAAAAAUUAGAGUGUUUAAAGCAGGCUCGCGCUUGAAUACAUUAGCAUGGAAUAAUGAAAUAGGACGUUGGUCCUAUUUUGUUGGUUUCUAGGAUUGACGUAAUGAUUAAUAGGGUGAGUUGGGGGCAUUAGUAUUCAAUUGUCAGAGGUGAAAUUCUUGGUUUUAUUGAAGACUAACUACUGCGAAAGCAUUUGCCAAGGAUGUUUUCAUUAAUCAAGAACGAAAGUUAGGGGAUCGAAGACGAUCAGAUACCGUCGUAGUCUUAACCAUAAACUAUGCCGACUAGGGAUCGGAUGAUGUUAAUUUUUUAAUGACUCAUUCGGCGCCUUACG
rnacentral:rRNA from 1 species